UUUCAAGCUCGUAAAACUGGCGUGAAUGUGAUGUCAAAAGAGCACAGAAUGGCUCACUCGGCUGAUGGAGGCAAAAUAUUUGCUGUGUUAGACACAGCAGCUCCAUGGCCCCGGGUGUGGGUGCAGCCCGGAGUGCUGGCUGCCUCCUGAGCUCUCCUGUGAGCGUGCUCGUCCAUAUCCACAGUGCUCAGCACACACUAUCCAUGCCUCUAUUUCCAAAACAAACACACAGACCUGCAAUCUGCCUGCUGGGUUCGAGUUUCCUGUGGCUGGAAGGAGCCUGGCGUUCCCCCGCAGACGUGGAUUUGACUGUCCUCAUUCAAUUAUAAUAGAGCGUCAGUCCUUGUUUAAGCAGAGAAGAUGGUCUGUAUUCCUAAGUUAUCCUUCAGCUUAGCCUGGGAGAAAUGGUGUUCAGAAACAUCACUGGGAGACAACUCAGAAGCAGCCCCUCCAAAGGAGUUCUCUUCUACUUUGUCAGCGUGCCUCCCUGGUCUCAAAGCAUCUCCGAGCUGCUCUGCUUAUUAGAUUAGGAUCUGAUUCCUCUUGGCCGUGCCACUCGGUUUCAGGAAACCAGUGCCGAUAAUUGCCAGCUUCAUUUUACUUUUCAUUAACUAAAAACGCCAUCCAAAGCACUCUGAAUCAACAAAUUAUCACGUCUGCCGCCUUCUUCGAAACGCGCAAGCACAGUCAGAUAGCUGCUUUGUGUGGGAACAGAACCACAGCAUCACCCGGGUUGGCAAAGACCUCUGGGACCAUCCAGCCCAGCCAUCCUCCCACCGCCAGCACCGCCACGUCCCGCACUGCCAUGUCCCCACGGCUCUUGGACACCUCCAGGCGUCCCCACCGCCUCCCUGGGCGCUUCAGUUUGAGAUAUUGAAGUUGACGGAUUCUCUUUUUGUUAUUGGUAAUGCAUUUAUCCGUCGCUUUUGCUUGAUUUCCUAUUGUAAAUAUCACAUUUGCACGCACAAAUAUUCAUUCCUUCUGAGUCUGGUUUGCUGUUUGUGCUCGGGGUCCCCAUUUGCAUCUCCCGGAGCUGGGAGGUGCCCCCCCAGUAUGAGCAAACCUCAGCACCCGCAGCCCACUGCAGCCUGAUGGCCACGUCCCCAUCCACGGCCGGACCUCACUGUCCUGCGUGGAGCUUCAGGGUGGGAACACCUUCUGCAGGAGAGGGGAU
ensembl:lncRNA